CAUUCACUUUGCUCCUGCAAAGGCCUGACCCAGAAAAGAAGUUUGAAUAUUUUAUGCUACCGGAAAUAAGACUUGCUUACAUUUGUUAUAUAUUCCUUGAUAGGCAAGGGUUUCAAAGAGCCAGGUCUUUACCUACUUAUUUUUUUAUGGCUUUCUUUUCUUUUUUUUUUUUUUUAUGGCUUUCAUUUUCCCAUUUCUGAUCUUGGAAGACCCCGUUCCUGGUGAUCCCUGAGCUCUUCACACACCGAGAGGAUCUUUCAGAUCUUGUAGUUAGUUGAGGAACUUGGGUAGGCAUCUAAGUCCACCCUUCCUUUCUUCAGUGCGGAUCUUCUAGCCCAGAUCCCUGGUCAAGGUCAUUCGUCAAAUCAAAGGCAAAGUCAGGAGUCAAACUCAGAUGUCCUCCCAGUCGUCUUGGCAGUCCCAUCCCGUGGUGGAGGUUAGAAUGCCACCUGACCGCAGCAUCUGACCUGAGGUAAGCCCUCAACAAGCAUUUGUUGAAUGAAUGAAGGAUGGAAGGAAAUGAAGAACGAAAAGAAGGCCAUAAAUUAAAAGGUGAAUUCCGCACUCUCUUCUCUGGCUGAGGCUAAAUCUUGACCCAGCUCUGCUGUCCUGUCCAGGGCAGUGAGGGGGCACCAUCUCCGUGCGUCCCCUCCGCUGACAUCACCGAAACGACCCUUUCAGGAGGGCACGGGGAACAUGGAAAGUUUGGGGAACAAGUCCAUAUUCAGAGUCAGAAAAAUUCCAGGAAAUCCAGACCCAUGAUUUUAUUAGAUUCAUGUCUAGAAUGAGAAUUAUCAUUGUUGGUGGAAGCGAUGCCCGAGACCGGAAGUACAGCUCCUCUGUUUCUCACUCAAACAUGAACGAUUGGCUUUUCUCUCUUAUGGUGUAUCUAAUUCUAGAGGCAAAGCCUAAACGCUGCAUUUUAUUUUGGUGAUUUUCCUUCAGAUCCAGUCCCUGCAUGGGGUAACGUCUUAUGCCAUGGAUCUCACUUGACCUAACCAGCUGUCAAAACUCAUUUGUCUUCUGUCCCAUUCAGAACCUCCCUGAUUGACCAAAUAAAUUGAUAUGAUGUGAUAAUUCUUGUCUUAGGGGACAUAUUUGAUUUUUAAACACAGGCCUCCUGGGAACAUAAUGCUUUAGCUCAGGAGUUAUGUCUAUUCUGCAAGUGGAGAUUUCUGGCAUUAGAUCAUGUUGGGAGGGAGGUGGGUUUAAAUCACUCCUGUCCUCCAUUUGUCCUACCACCUGGGCGGCCAUAUGUUCUUGCAAAUGCAUGAAGAGGUUGUAUCAGAAAAUCAUCCAUUUAGCAAACAUGAUUGAAGACCUGCUAGGUGCCAGGCACUAUGUUGUCAGGGCCUAAGGCACAGAGAUUAUGUGAAGUCAGGUCUGUACCUUGAGGGAAGAGACAGGCAGCGAUUUGGGUGAUUAAAUCGCACAGUGCUGGGUGCUGGCGGUGGGGAGAGAAGUGGAUGGGCUUCAGGGUUGGAAAGGACGUAGACCACAGCAAUGGUAACUGCCCAAUGCUGAUGGAGUGGGGGAGGGACGGAUUUAGGGUGACUCCCAGUUUUAUUUUGGAAACCAGGCAGUUAGAAUAAAGGGCACUAGGGAGUGUAGUCAUAGGGGGAAUCAGGGUUAACACAAGGUGUGUUUGUGUGUGUGUGUGUGUACAAGAAAAUGUGAGUGUGUUGGCAAGUAGGGAUGGUAUAUUUUCAGUUUAGGGAUGAAUGAAUGACUUUGAGCCUAAAGAAAGGCAAGUCUCGGGAGACCUCACUGUUACCAACCAGGAUUACACUACACAUCACAGUCUUUAUCAUAAUCAUAACAUUUAAAUUAUUAAAAGACCAUGCUUGAUUUUUCUCUUCACCCUUCAGGAGGUUAAAUAUGCAGUUCUUGCAUUUGAAGCUCUUAUGGCUAAGGAAAACCAUAAGGACCCCAGGACAGCUGGGCACAUGCAAAGCCCAAACACGGAGGAACCGGAAACGUGACUGAGACCCAUGGGAGCCCUGCUUGGCCAUGGACAUCACCCAGCAGCAGACCAGGGCUCCCAAACAGGCUGGUGUGCGGUGCGGGUGCUUCUCUCACCCUUCUCAGUCGCUAGAGCCUGACUAUCCUGGAUGGUGGGCCGGUCUACGGACAUCUCCCCUCAUGAAGGAGAGAAGUGAUGAGGCUUCAGAGUUCACCAGGUACCAGGUCCUGCACUGGGACCAUCCAUGCUUGUCUUUAUUGGAAGCCAAGUGCAAAUCUUCACUGUCCCUCAUACAUUCCCAUUUCCAGCUUUAAAGAUUCUUGCCAUGCUAGUCCCUUUUUUUAAAAUUUCACUAACAGCAUUGUCUUCAGAAGGUUUCUGUUACCUGGGAGAUUGAUAAUACUUACAAAUUGAAAAAAUCAAAUUGCAGUUUCUAACUUGUUGGAUAAUUUGCCUAUGAUGCUUGAAAGUAGAAAGUGUGGACUGAAAGACAGGAACCAAAGAAUGAUUCAUUUUGAGUGGGUGACCAGGGCAAAAAUUUCCUCUCUGGAGGAGGCUGCGGCACACAUGGGGUGGGAGAAAGGAAAUCAAUCAAUGAAUCAGCUUAGGGGCUGAUUACGUCCCCCUCCAAAUUCAUAUGUUGAAGUCCUAAUCCCCAG